GAGUUACUUUCAGUGGCGAGGUUAACUGAAUAAGGGAGCCGUAGAGAAAUCGAGUCUGAAUAGGGCGAUAGUCGCUGGGAGUAGACCCGAAACCGGGCGAUCUAGCCAUGUGCAGGAUGAAGGUUGGGUAACACCAACUGGAGGUCCGAACCGGGUAAUGUUGAAAAAUUAUCGGAUGACGUGUGGCUAGGAGUGAAAGGCUAAUCAAGCCCGGAGAUAGCUGGUUCUCCCCGAAAGCUAUUUAGGUAGCGCCUCGUGAAUGAUUACUGGGGGUAGAGCACUGUUUCGGCUAGGGGGCUGUCAUGGCUUACCAAACCGAUGCAAACUCCGAAUACCGGCUAAUUGAAUCACGGGAGACACACGGCGGGUGCUAACGUCCGUCGUGGAGAGGGAAACAACCCAGACCGCCAGCUAAGGUCCCCAAGUACUAGUUAAGUGGGAAACGAUGUGGGAAGGCAUAGACAGCCAGGAGGUUGGCUUAGAAGCAGCCACCCUUUAAAGAAAGCGUAAUAGCUCACUGGUCGAGUCGGCCUGCGCGGAAGAUGUAACGGGGCUAAAACUAGUCACCGAAGCUGCGGAUGUGCGCGAAGGCGCACGUGGUAGGGGAGCGUUCUGUAGGCUGAUGAAGGUGCAUUGAGAAGUGUGCUGGAGGUAUCAGAAGUGCGAAUGCUGACAUGAGUAACGAUAAUGUGGGUGAAAAGCCCACACGCCGGAAGUCCCAGGUUUCCUGCACGACGUUAAUCGGAGCAGGGUGAGUCGGCCCCUAAGGCGAGGCUGAAGAGCGUAGUCGAUGGGAACCAGGUUAAUAUUCCUGGACUUUUUAUAAGUGGUGAAGUGGGGACGAAGAAGGCUAGGUGAGCCAGGCGUUGGUUGUCCUGGUACUUGCAUGUAGGGGGGAAGACUUGGCAAAUCCGGUUUUCCAUAACUCUGAGGUGCGAAGUGGUUCUGACCUUUUGGUACAGAGAAGUCAUUGAUGCCCGGCUUCCAGGAAAAGCUGCUAGCCAUAACUUAUAGAGAACCGUACCGCAAACCGACACAGGUGGACAGGUAGAGAAUACUAAGGCGCUUGAGAGAACUCGGGUGAAGGAACUAGGCAAAAUGGUACCGUAACUUCGGGAGAAGGUACGCCCUUUCUGGUGAUGGGAUUUACUUUCAGAGCUGGAGAGGGCCGCAGAGACCAGGUGGCUGCGACUGUUUAUUAAAAACACAGCACUCUGCAAAUUCGUAAGAAGACGUAUAGGGUGUGACGCCUGCCCGGUGCCGGAAGGUUAAUUGAUGGGGUUAUCUUCGGAGAAGCUCUUGAUCGAAGCCCCGGUAAACGGCGGCCGUAACUAUAACGGUCCUAAGGUAGCGAAAUUCCUUGUCGGGUAAGUUCCGACCUGCACGAAUGGCGUAACGAUGGCCACACUGUCUCCACCCGAGACUCAGUGAAAUUGAAAUCGCUGUGAAGAUGCAGUGUACCCGCGGCUAGACGGAAAGACCCCGUGAACCUUUACUAUAGUUUUGCACUGGACUUUGAUGAUGACUGUGUAGGAUAGGUGGGAGGCUGUGAAGUGAGGACGCUAGUUCUCAUGGAGCCGCCCUUGAAAUACCACCCUGUUGUUAUUGAGGUUCUAACUUGGUCCAGUAAUCCUGGAUGAGGACAGUGUAUGAUGGGUAGUUUGACUGGGGCGGUCUCCUCCCAAAGAGUAACGGAGGAGCACAAAGGUACCCUCGGUACGGUCGGACAUCGUACCAAGAGUGUAAAGGCAAAAGGGUGCUUGACUGCGAGAGUGACGGCUCGAGCAGGAACGAAAGUUGGUCUUAGUGAUCCGGUGGUUCUGAAUGGAAGGGCCAUCGCUCAACGGAUAAAAGGUACUCCGGGGAUAACAGGCUGAUACCGCCCAAGAGUUCAUAUCGACGGCGGUGUUUGGCACCUCGAUGUCGGCUCAUCACAUCCUGGGGCUGAAGCAGGUCCCAAGGGUAUGGCUGUUCGCCAUUUAAAGUGGUACGCGAGCUGGGUUUAGAACGUCGUGAGACAGUUCGGUCCCUAUCUGCCGUGGGCGUAGGAAAAUUGAGAGGAGCUGCUCCUAGUACGAGAGGACCGGAGUGGACGAACCUCUGGUGCACCGGUUGUCACGCCAGUGGCAUGGCCGGGUAGCUAAGUUCGGACGGGAUAACCGCUGAAAGCAUCUAAGCGGGAAGCCUCCCUCAAGAUGAGUUUUCCCAUGAAGCCCGUUGAAGACUACGACGUUGAUAGGCAAGGUGUGGAAGCGCAGUAAUGCGUGAAGCUAACUUGUACUAAUUGGCUGAUUGUCUUGACCAUAUAAUCUGAG
rnacentral:rRNA from 1 species